rnacentral:rRNA from 1 species
CGGUGUUCAACUGGCGUGUCCGCGGGACGUCCUGCCGGUGGGCUUAGCCCGCAAGGGCGGCCCCAACUUCAAAUCCCAUCGCGGUGCUCUUCACUGAGUGUCGAGGUGGGCCGGCACGUUUACUUUGAACAAAUUAGAGUGCUUAAAGCAGGCUAAAACUUCGCCUGAAUACUGUGUGCAUGGAAUAAUGGAAUAGGACCUCGGUUCUAUUUUGUUGGUUUUCGGAACCCCGAGGUAAUGAUUAAUAGGAACGGAUGGGGGCAUUCGUAUUGCGACGUUAGAGGUGAAAUUCUUGGAUCGUCGUAAGACGGACAGAAGCGAAAGCAUUUGCCAAAAACGCUUUCAUUGAUCAAGAACGAAAGUUAGAGGUUCGAAGGCGAUCAGAUACCGCCCUAGUUCUAACCAUAAACGAUGCCAGCUAGCGAUCCGUCGACGUUCCUCCGAUGACUCGACGGGCAGCUUCCGGGAAACCAAAGCUUUUGGGUUCCGGGGGAAGUAUGGUUGCAAAGCUGAAACUUAAAGGAAUUGACGGAAGGGCACCACCAGGAGUGGAGCCUGCGGCUUAAUUUGACUCAACACGGGAAACCUCACCAGGCCCGGACACCGGAAGGAUUGACAGAUUGAGAGCUCUUUCUUGAUUCGGUGGGUGGUGGUGCAUGGCCGUUCUUAGUUGGUGGAGCGAUUUGUCUGGUUAAUUCCGAUAACGAACGAGACUCUAGCCUGCUAACUAGGCGUAUUUUCGACAUCUCAAAGGUCCGUCGUCCCGGCCCUCGGGUCGUGGGCGUGCGCGAUUUUUACUGUCGGCGUACUAUCAAUUCUUCUUAGAGGGACAGGUGGCUUCUAGCCGCACGAGAUUGAGCAAUAACAGGUCUGUGAUG